UACGUAGGGGGGCAAGCGUUGUCCGGAUUUAUUGGGCGUAAAGAGCUCGUAGGCGGUCUGUCGCGUCGGCUGUGAAAACCCGAGGCUCAACCUCGGGCCUGCAGUCGAUACGGGCAAACUAGAGUACUGCAGGGGAGACUGGAAUUCCUGGUGUAGCGGUGAAAUGCGCAGAUAUCAGGAGGAACACCGAUGGCGAAGGCAGGUCUCUGGGCAUUAACUGACGCUGAGGAGCGAAAGCCAUGGGGAGCGAACAGG
rnacentral:rRNA from 1 species